GCCUGGCUGGUUCAGUCAGUAGAACAUGUGACUCUUGAUCUUGGAGCUGUGAGUUCGAACCCCACGUUGGGGU
rnacentral:tRNA from 1 species